UACAUGGGCCUCUGUGCCUAUAAAUCUAUACAACUUUCAGCAACGGAUCUCUUGGCUCUCGCAUCGAUGAAGAACGCAGCGAAAUGCGAUAAGUAAUGUGAAUUGCAGAAUUCAGUGAAUCAUCGAAUCUUUGAACGCACCUUGCGCUCCUUGGUAUUCCGAGGAGCAUGCCUGUUUGAGUGUCAUUAAAUU
rnacentral:rRNA from 1 species